AAAAUUUAAAUAAAGAGAAGAACUAAUGAACAAAGGAUGCAUGACAUCUUGACAAAACAAGAUAAAUACUAGACCAUAAAUAGAAAAGAAGGCAACAAGAAAAUCAAAGGCUGAAACUGGAACAGAACUGACACAAAUAAUACAACUGAAAGCUAAUGUGGUAAACCUGACAAAUCAAACUAGUGACAUAAGCAAUCAUGAAACAAUCAAAAAGCGUGGAUCAAAACUAAACUAAACAAGAAUGGAGCUCAACAUGUGGCUGAAGUGUGAUGAACAGAAAACAACAAGUUGUG